GGGUUUUGCUUCCAAGUCCAUUCCCUGCAAAUCGGAACAUCAAAUGACCCUCCAUGAUCACAAGGCAAACUUGAAAACUGUAUAAGGAAUUGUUUUACUUUAGAAAACAUUGGAACACUCUAAUGAUAUUAUUGCUGAAAGAGGGAAUACCAAAUUAUUUAUAAGAAAAAGACUUCAGCCACAUGUGGAAUCAAAAAGGUAAAAUGGCAGGGAGGAUAGAUAAUUUGAUGCAAAAUGAUAUGGAUUAGAACUUCAGCAAUGACACAAGUCAACAGGGACAUAGAUGUUUACAUGAAGAUUAUCAACUUUUAAACAAGACCAAGUUCAUUACAACAAUGAUACCAUGUCAAAAUCAUCUCAUGUAGCAAAGAAGAGCUGUAUUUUUGGAGAAGCAUAGUUUCAUAGCAUCUAACCAGUCAGCAG
rnacentral:misc_RNA from 1 species